rnacentral:rRNA from 1 species
CUUCUUUUUCCACCGGAGCUUGCUCCACCGGAAAAAGAGGAGUGGCGAACGGGUGAGUAACACGUGGGUAACCUGCCCUCAAGCGGGGGAUAACACUUGGAAACAGGUGCUAAUACCGCAUAAUAUUAAUGAACACAUGUUUAUUAUUUGAAAGGCGCUUUUGCGUCACUUGAGGAUGGACCCGCGGUGCAUUAGCUAGUUGGUGAGGUAACGGCUCACCAAGGCCACGAUGCAUAGCCGACCUGAGAGGGUGAUCGGCCACACUGGGACUGAGACACGGCCCAGACUCCUACGGGAGGCAGCAGUAGGGAAUCUUCGGCAAUGGACGAAAGUCUGACCGAGCAACGCCGCGUGAGUGAAGAAGGUUUUCGGAUCGUAA